rnacentral:rRNA from 1 species
GUGAGGAAUAUUGGUCAAUGGGCGAGAGCCUGAACCAGCCAAGUCGCGUGAAGGAAGAAGGAUCUAUGGUUCGUAAACUUCUUUUGCAGGGGAAUAAAGUGCGGGACGUGUCCUGUUUUGUAUGUACCCUGAGAAUAAGGAUCGGCUAACUCCGUGCCAGCAGCCGCGGUAAUACGGAGGAUCCGAGCGUUAUCCGGAUUUAUUGGGUUUAAAGGGUGCGUAGGUGGUUUGAUAAGUCAGCGGUGAAAGUUUGCAGCUUAACUGUAAAAAUGCCGUUGAAACUGUCGGACUUGAGUGUAAAUGAGGUAGGCGGAAUGCGUGGUGUAGCGGUGAAAUGCAUAGAUAUCACGCAGAACUCCGAUUGCGAAGGCAGCUUACUAAGCUACAACUGACACUGAAGCACGAAAGCGUGGGGAUCAAACAGGAUUAGAAACCCUAGUAGUCC